rnacentral:tRNA from 1 species
GGGGGUAUAGCUCAGUUGGCUAGAGUAUUUGCAUGGCAUGCAAAGGGUCGUGAGUUCGAGUCUCACUAUCUCCA